AAUCGUUGAUUUGUUUGUUGGUGUUGAGCUGCACUAGCAGUGUUUUUAUAUACCUGGCACUAGCAUGCACUAGAGUGGUGAAAGGUAAAAGGCCUCGCCCGAAGAAAGUCGUAUCCCCGUUUUGAAUAUGGGAAGAAAGAAGCCUCGCAAGAAGCCGACGGCAGCGGCGACGGCGGCCGCCCAGGCUGCGGCCCAGUCGCCGGCCGGGGACGGCGCCACGGGUGGUGAUUCUCCCGCCGCCUCAGAGCCGACACCUGCCCCAGCCCCGGCGCCAACUCCAGCUCCAGCGCCGGCCGCUGCACCUGCCGCAGCACCAGCCCCAGCACCGGCUGCAACACCGGCGCCGGCCGCAGCACCGGCUGCAACACCGGCGCUGGCCGCAGCACCGGCUGCAACACCGGCACCGGCCGCAGCACCGGCGCCAAAGUCCUCUUCAACUCCAAGUUCAUCGGGGACAUCGACACCGGCAUCUACGCCUAGGCCGACUCCGGCACCGACGCCCACGCCGACGGCACCACCCGGGCUGACUGUGGGUGCGGGCCGGGGCAGAGGCAGGGGUCGUGGCGCAGCCCCGAGAGGCGCGAGAGCCCAGGACUCUCGGCCACAGGCGGCCCAGCAGCCCCAGUCGCCGCCGCCGCCGCAGCUGAAGUCACCUCCGCCGCAGCAGGGGGGCCCGGCCGGCGAUGUUACACGGCAGAUGGCUGACAUGUCCGUGGCGGAGACGAAAAAGGCCGCAGAGAGUGUGUUCCAGCCGGCGCCCUCGGAGAAGAGCAUCUGCAAGCUGCAGCCACCCAAGAGCAAGGGCCCAGGGAGGAUGGGUCGCCCGAUAAAGCUGCUCACCAACCAUUUCAACUUGAGCAUCAAGUGCAGAGAAGUGUACCACUAUGAUGUAGAGUUCGAGAAGAGGAUGCCCAAAACUGUGAAGCGCCGUAUCUUCGAUAAGGCAAUGAAAGAGAACGCACAGUUUGGGAAGUACUUUCCUGUAUUUGAUGGCGAGAAGAAUAUGUACACGGCCCGUCAGCUGCCUCUGAAAGGCAAACAGGUGGAUAUGACGGUGUCGUUUCAGGAGGCGGGCGACCUGGCUCGCGACUAUAAGCUGACGGUGAAGGCGGCCGACCCCUGCCAGGUGGACAUCGAGCCGCUGAUGCAGUACCUGGUCGGCGGCAGCUCCAACAACACGCCGCAGGCGGCCGUGCUGGCGCUGGACAUUGUGCUGCGCCACCUGCCCAGCCUGCGCUUCACACCGGUCGGCCGCUCCUUCUUCCCGGACCAGGGCGGCCGGACCAUCGACAUCGGCGGCGGCUGCGAGCUCUGGAUCGGAUACUUCUCCACCAUCCGCUGCGGCUGGAAACAGACGCGCAUCAACAUCGACGUGGCCAACAAGGCCUUCCACAAGCCAAUACACGUCAUGGAUAAGAUGUAUGAGAUCAUCGGGGACCGGUUUGACCCUGCCCGAGGUCUGAAUCCAAUGCAGUUCCAGGAGGUGAACAAACAACUGGCCAACCUGAAGGUGGAGUACACACGAGGCAACCAGGGGAAGCGCUCCUACCGCAUCAACAAGAUGGUGCGCGACACGCCCAGAACGCACAAGUUCGACCACAAUGGCAGACAGAUGACUGUGGAGCAGUUCUUCUCCAAGGAGUACGGUGUCCAGCUGCAGUACCCCAACCUGCCGUGCCUCUGGGUCGGCUCCAAGAACAAGAAGAUUUACAUCCCAGCGGAGGUUUGCACGGUGGUGAAGGGCCAGGUGAACAACCACAAGCUGAGUCCAGACCAGGUGUCCACAAUGAUCAAGACCACGGCCGCCCCGGCAGACGUCCGUCUGAACCGCAUCAGGGAGUUCGUGCGCCAGGCCGACUUCAACCGGGACCCACACAACCGCGAGUUCGGCCUCCAGGUGGCCGACACGCCGACAGAGGUGACUGGUCGCAUUCUGCCGGCGCCGACCCUGCUCUACAACAACCAGGGCAGAGUGCAGCCGCGCGAUGGCGUCUGGGACCUGCGCGGCAGCCGAUUUCUGGACCCGCACCACCUGGAGCGCUGGGUGGUGCUCGACUACGCGCGCACCUACAACGACAAGCUGCAGAACUUCCUGCGCGGCCUGGCCGACUCGGGACGCCAGGUGGGUAUGAAUAUCGCCCAGCCGGUUGGCGUGGUACAGAGGGACGGCCGCUUCCCGGAGCGCGUGGACGCCGUCCGCGACCUGAGCGAGAUCAAGAAGCAGUACAACUCGCCGCAGCUGGUGCUGGUCAUCCUGCCGGCCAAGAACAAGCUGUACAGCGCCGUGAAGGGCGCAGGGGACGUGGUGGUCGGUCAGCUGACCUCGUGCGUCCUCUCCAAGACGGUAUUCAGGGGAGAUCGGCAGACAGCCACCAACAUCUGCCAGAAAAUCAACGCCAAAAUGGGUGGCUCCAACAACGGCCUGCACGAGAGCACUCGGCCGCCGAUGCUGCGCGUGCCGACCAUCGUGUUUGGAGCGGAUGUGACCCACCCGGCCCCGGACCAGAAGAACAAGCCCAGUAUCGCCGCCGUGGUGGCCAGCAUGGACGCCUCGUUCCACGCGCGCUACGGGCACCGCGUGCUGGUGCAGUACCCGGAGGAGGGCCAGGGUGCCCAAGAACUGAUCGCCGACCUCGGCACCGCUGUAAAAGAGCUACUGAUCGAGUUCUACAAGAUGAACAACCGAGUCAAGCCGCAGCAGAUAGUUUUCUUCCGUGAUGGAGUGAGCGAGGGCCAAUUCCUGCAGGUCAUCCAGUAUGAGCUGGAACAGAUCAAGGAGGCGUGCAGAAAGCUGGAGGCCAACUACCAGCCCAAGAUCACGCUGCUGGUCGUGCAGAAGCGUCACCACACGCGCCUGUUUGCGCAGGACCUGCGCGAGGCCAAGGGCAAGUCGAAGAACGUGCCUCCUGGCACGGUGGUGGACUCGGUGAUCGCACACCCCACCGAGCUGGACUACUUCCUGGUCAGCCACCAGGGCAUCCAGGGCACCAGUCGACCGACCCACUACCACAUUCUUCACGACGACAGCAACUUUACGGCCGACGAGCUGGAGAUCCUUACCUACUACAUGUGCCACCUGUUCUCGCGGUGCACGCGCUCCGUGAGCAACCCGGCGCCCUCCUACUACGCCCACCUAGCCGCCUUCCGGGCGCGUGCGCACCACGACAACUUCUUGGCCGUCAACAACAUCGCCGAGGACCGCCGACCGCCGCUCGCGGACGCCCAGAGAGCCUGCACACCGCAGACGGUGCCCAUGUACUACGUGUAGAGGCCCCGGGGCGCGGGCACGGCCGGCGCGGGCUGGGCGCAGUAGCCACAGCCGUCCGACUCCUGUAGGCUAGCGGCUGGUGACUGCCAGAUCGCACUGCCAGGCGUAGUGGGUGGUGGCUUUAGCUUUUGUAGUGCACUCUUGGCAGCUCUGCCGUCCAAAGGCAAAACCGCAUAUGUCGGGUCAGGUCAUGACCCGACAUAUGCGUUUUUGCCUUUGGACGGCAGAGCUAUCACAGACAGAGGUUCUCAAGUAUUUAAUCAUCUGUUUAGAGGGCUUUUUACUUUUCUUGCUGCUUUGGUAAACAGGGUCCUAUGGCAAGAGGUAUGAAUAAUAUGUAAUCCUGCUUACAUAAAGUUAAAGCGUUACGUUUACACGCAGCAUCAGUAAUUUCUAAGCACCCGGUUGAGACGCGCCAAAUUCAUCAGAUUGCUUAGUCCCGUCCCAGCUGGCGGGACGCCGAACUGAUUUCGUCUCCGCGGGGUGCUGCCCUCGCACGCCCCGGAGGACGCGAGUGACGACCACUGGCUGCACGCUCAUGGCUGGGCCAUGACGUGCGCGCUGCACGGGCUCCGCGGGCCGUCCGGCGGUGCGCCGGCCGGGCGGCCUCUGCGCCGCGCGCGCUGGCUAUCUGAGGAGCGCCGCGCCAACGGUGCCCCGCGCUCUGUCGGCGGGUUGGCGCCGCGCUCCGAAUUUCCGGCCGCGUGGUCGUGGGUUGAGAAUCGGGCGUCCGCUGUUGCACGAUCAGCUUCUGUGUGCGUCUGUCGCUCUUCAUAGGUUUGUGGACUGAUUUUUUCCUGCUGGCUUUCUGGAUCAAAUACACGAGCUCUACGUG